ACUGCAGGCUGCCAGAGAGGAGCUCAGCGUGUCAAUGAACCGUGCGUCUGUUUGUCUUAACGCUCACUUGUCAUGUCUUUCUUCCUUCUCUCUCUUUUGUCUGUGUGUGAUCAUAGGAUAUCCUUCCAGCAGAGGCUGGAAACGAUUAUAUCAUCUCUGCUGACGCUCUUUCAUCUGUGUGGAAACAUCCCGAAUCAGCCCGACCGGGAGGAUGAAGCGGCAUGGAAAAUCAAGCUUCUGAGAGCUGAAUCAGAGCUUGCUGGAGUUGGAUGGGAGUGUUUAACCGCAGUAAGGUCAGGGGUCAGUAGCAGUUUCUCAUUCUAUUUCUUCAAAGCAACAGGCAGCAGUGCAUUCUGGGAGCAUGGUGCAAUGCGUUCUGGGCUUUGGGUGAUGCAUUUAAAUGCAUGCAUGCAUCUUGUAGCUUUUGGUUACAGAGCUAAUGAAAUAUAAAUAUAUUUUUGUAAAUAAGCAGGUGAAGCAUGCAUUCGUACCCAUGUUAUUCACCUGCUUCCUGCAGCGUGGAUCAGAUCUGAGUGCAUCAGCGAGAUCUCGUAUUCUCCCCGAGGAUGACCGCUGGGUCACACUAAUAACCUCUGACAGCCCGUCAGGCGUGAAGAGGGUGUAGAGUAUCCACGGGGGCCGGAACACACCCCGCAUUCCCGCUCAUUCCCGCUCCUGUCCUCUCGCUCACACACACUUACAGCACGUGCGGCGGGAGGGGCCACUGGCACUAAAGUGACAUUAAUGGGGCCGUGCUGACACAACAAGGCGAGCGCAGGGACCACUUUUCUGCCUCUUCAUUGGUGAAGCUGUCGCCUCGAGUUUCACCAUGCCCUCCAUCCCUGGACCGGCCCGAUUAGGCUCGGGAUUAGGGUUUCGUCUCGGGGAAGCAGUCACGUGAUUUACUGUUGCUCCCCUCGCUGGGCUACAGGUGGCCGGGAUAAGAUGUCUACAGAACGACGUGUGGUUUAACCGCACCUCGGAUCUUAAAAUGGGCCCGAAUCCUCUACUCUGUGACAGGCAGCCACGUGCAGUGUCACCAUAUACUUCAAACGCACACACAUACACUAAAAG
ensembl:lncRNA